GACUAACGCUGGCGGCGUGCCUAACACAUGCAAGUCGAACGAAGCAGCAAUGCUUAGUGGCAGACGGGUGAGUAACGCGUAGAUAAUGUGCCCUCUUGCGGGGGAUACCGUUUCGAAAGGAACGUUAAUACCGCAUAAAGUCCUUGGGAGGCAUCUCCCGAGGACCAAACUUCCGGGGCGGGAGGAGCAAUCUGCGUACUAUCAGCUAGUUGGUGAGGUAAGGGCUCACCAAGGCUACGACGGGUCGCCGGCCUGAGAGGGUGACCGGUCACACUGGGACUGAGAUACGGCCCAGACUCCUACGGGAGGCAGCAGUGGGGAAUAUUGCACAAUGGGCGCAAGCCUGAUGCAGCGACGCCGCGUGAGGGAUGACGGCCUUCGGGUUGUAAACCUCUUUCAGCUAUGACGAAGCGCAAGUGACGGUAGUAGCAGAAGAAGGACCGGCCAACUACGUGCCAGCCGCCGCGGUAA
rnacentral:rRNA from 1 species